GCUUCACUAGCUCAGUCGGUAGAGCGUCAGUCUCAUAGUAUCUGAAGGUCGACAGUUCGAACCUGCCGUGGAGCA
rnacentral:tRNA from 1 species